rnacentral:piRNA from 1 species
UAGUUUUCUAGAAGUGCCAAACUCUAUGGG